rnacentral:rRNA from 1 species
UACGUAGGGUGCGAGCGUUGUCCGGAAUUAUUGGGCGUAAAGGGCUCGUAGGCGGUUUGUCGCGUCGGGAGUGAAAAUCCAGGGCUUAACCCUGGACCUGCAGUGGGUACGGGCAGACUAGAGUGCGGUAGGGGAGAUCGAAUUCCUGGUGUAGCGGUGAAAUGCGCAGAUAUCAGGAGGAACACCGGUGGCGAAGGCGGGAUCUCGUGGGCCGAAGCUGAACUCUGGAGGAGCGAAAGCGUGGGGAGGCGAACAGGGA